GUCACUGAUGAGCACUUGAGGCAAGUAUUCAGUCAGUAUGGAGAGCUGGUGCAUGUUAAGAUACCUGCAGGCAAGCGAUGUGGCUUUGUUCAAUUUUCAGACAGAAGCUGCGCUGAGGAAGCUUUGCGCAUUUUGAAUGGAACCCAAAUUGGUGGGCAAAACAUUAGACUUUCAUGGGGCCGUAGUCCUUCUAACAAACAGCCACAGGCUGAUCCUAAUCAGUGGAAUGGAGGAGGUGGAGGAGGAUAUUAUGGAUAUGGACAAGGAUAUGAAAACUAUAGCUAUACUCCAGCUGCCCAAGACCCUAACAUGUUCUACAGUGGCUAUGCUGGGUAUGGGAACUACCAGCAACCAGCACCACAGCAGCCAUCGCAGCAACAAGGAGGAUAUAUGUAGAUGACAAGUUUUAUUUCUCGUGUCCGGCCUCUCCCUUCGAACGAGACCCUGAACUUCUGCUUUUCAUUUGUAGAAGAUUUUGGAGAUGUUGCUCUCAUCUUAUUCUGAAACAAAUAUUCUGUAUGACUCCGUUGACUUGAUGUCACUUGUGUGUUGUAUUUGGUGUUAGAGGUUUUGCGUGUUGUCUUAUUUGUUUUUUUCAUAUGAUCAUAUCUAUCACGGUAGCGAG
rnacentral:misc_RNA from 1 species